GAAAAAGUGGUACAGUUCUGAAUUCUUGGUUCUUAGGUGAAGAACGGUGGACGAGGUGAGGAAGAAGGCGGCGCGGCGCGGCGGAGGAGAGGAGAGGGGACGUGAUCUGCGACUGAGGAGAGAUGGAUGUGUGGCUGCCUGCGGGACAACGUCGCUCGCGUUCUUACAUAAGCCCACCUUCAAGAGGUAUCAAAACCCAAAACUAAACCUUUCUAUUGCAAUAAAUUAAAUUUUAGUUUCGUCAAAAAUAAAUAAAUUACUAGAGACUAAACUCUAUACUUUGGUUUCGUGAGUUAGUUCAAUACUUUUAUUUCUAAUUUUUUCAAGAAAAAGGUACUUUUAUUUUUAUUGCCUUUUGCUUACAUUAUAAUAAGGUUUUCUUUUACAAAAAUCAUUACAAUGAUAUUAAAAUAAUUUUUAAAUUAAGAUACAUUUGUAUUAUAUUAUUUAAUUUGGAUAUUCUUAUCAUUCUUUCUUUCUUUCUCUCUUUAUUUAUUUAUAUUUUAAUAUCAUUUUCUCUCUUCAUUACAAAAGAGUAACAUAAUCAAAAGAGAGAUUAAAAGGCAAAUAAAGAGUAAAAUAAAAAUCUCAAAAACCUUUAUAAAGAUCUAAUCAUUGGACAUUAUUUAGAAACUGGCAACAUUAAUAGUUGUGAUAACCUCAUAUUGAAAAUUGAUCAAAGAUAUAAGCAUUUUAAGUUGUGGACAAUUGGAAAAUGUAUGUAGAAAAAAUCAUGAGGCGAAUCUCUUAGGACAACCAUGUUAGCCCGAUUCUCUUCAGACCAAGACUCUAGGAUGACCUCCCCCUCAUGACCCGUUCUAAAGAGGUUUAGGUAUUUCCUAAAAAAACCCAUUUUUUCCUCUAAGAUAUGGUAAGUCUCGAAGUCCUUCACUCCUUGACACAUGGAUGCAUUGGUUUCCAUUGAUAACUUUAGAUUUUCUAAGAAUGAACAUGAAAAAAGAAGGUUAAAGAAAUUGAGGGAAAAAUUAUACCUCUUUACGAAGGAAGAUGAUGAAUUUAAGACUGAAGAAGGUUUUAACGCAACUUGCUUAGCUAGAAAAGAAACCCUGAUAAAAAAUUGGUGGAAAAUGAGUUGAGGUCAUAUCUUUAUAAGACCAAUAACUUAUGUCGCAUAGGUCAUGAUGGCCUCCCAUAGGCACAUCCAACAGUUGCAAAGUAAUCUCCACACUUUUCUUUUUAUGACACGUGUGAGGAACCAAAGGUCCUCAACGGACUUAGCUUUCCAAGACAGACUCAUCAUUAAAGACAUUAAAUGUAGCACAUGUUUCUCGAAGUGACCCUUGAGGAAUUUGCCCCAAGCCUCACUUGAGAGACUCAACCCUAGCUUUUACUUUUAAAAAAUUAUGAGAUGGUCCAUGAUCUCGUAAAGAGAGGAGAGGUGGUCACCUGAAACAUAUUGUGAGAUGAUCCAUAAGCCACCUCACUUAUCACACGUGGUUUAUGAGGUGUCUGAUGUUGGUCAAUAAGGGAAAUUAGUUUCUACACCUUUUCAAGGAAGAGUCCGUCUUCCCCACUCUCACAUUUUUGUUGAGGAAAUUUGAAAAAUUGUUUCCUAUCUAAACUCGUAGAAUCUCUAUAAAUGCUCUAACAUUUGAGGUCAAAGGAUAUCCACAAAUUGCAAGGAGAAAUUAUAGUCUAUCUUUCUCGUAUUUGAAGAAGUUGUAUAUUUUUAUAAAUUAUUUGUUUCCUUGGUUGUAAAUUUAUUUUUAAAAAUUACAAAUUAUGACUAAAUAUCUUUUAUUUUUGAUUAUUUAAUUUUCAUUUUAUUCUUAUGUUAUGAGAAAAAUAAUUUACGUUCUAAUAGAAAUAAGAAAUAAUCACUCAUAAUUUUUUACUUCUAAAUAUUUUAACUCUUUAAUUUUUUAUUUUAAAAUAAUAAUUUAAAUAUACUUCAUAAAAAUUAAAUUACUCACCAACAAACACAUACGCGAAAGUAAAAUUUUCUAAAAUAAUGAGUAAUGCAUUGAAGCUAAUAAAGGUUACAAGUAUUAUUUUUUUCAACUAAGUUGAGGCAGAUACUACCAUGUUCAAAAUGUAUCCAUUUUCAUCAAGAUUAAAGGAGGCACGUUUCUAGGCAAGACCUUGCACAAUCACCAACUUUAACCAUGGUUUACAACGAAGACUUCUGAAUUUAAACACCCAAAUCAUAGCAAGAUGUCGAGAAUGAAGACUUAUCGACUUAGAAAAACCAUGAUGGUAUAAGAAAAGACAAGUAAAAGCAACCAAAUCCUCUAAACUAAAGUGAAUUUUUUGCAAACUUUAAGUGUUCUCAUUUUCAAUUUUGAUUUGGUCUAAUGGUCCAGAGAAAGUGAGUAAUUAUGAGAUGCCAUCUGUCAAUGAAAUCCAUCCUUGUGUAAACCUAUUUGGGUUGGAUCCAAAUGUUUGGCAAAGUUUUGUUUUAUUGCAUCAUAGUAUGACAGUACUAAUAUUAUCACCUUCUUCAAUACAAUGAAAAAAUUGGACUUAGAUUGAGAAACUUGUUGAAAAUAAUUGGAUGAUUGGUUGAUCAAAAAACUAAAUAUAGAACACCACAGUAUCUUGUGAUGAAUACGUUUUCAUCAUAUAUGGAUCAACCAUAUAUGGAACAAUAUGAGCAAAAAAAUGAACAAUAUUUAUUUGUAACUUUAUUGUUUUGCUAUUAUACACUUGAUGCAGCACAUAGUUUUUUUAAUGCAUACAGAAAACUGUGGAGGUCUCAGCCUCUCAGCUUGUUGAGAGUUACUGAGUUACAUGUAAAAUACUUCAGUUGUGAAGUUAACAUAAAAGCUAAUAACAAUAACACAAUAAAUUAAAAGCUUCUCAGAAUAGCAUUUGGCUUUUUCUGAUUGCGACUAUACCAAGACAGAAGAAAUUUCCCAUUAUAUGAACUUGAUCUCUUCAUUGGACUAGCAACACCCUGCAAAUAUCUUGUUGACCUAAAAGAAAAGCUACUACUACCACCUUUGGAUGUAGUUGCUAAAUUCUCACUUCCAUUAACCGAAACACUAUCUUCAUCACCAUUAGAUUCCUUUGACAGAACAGUUGCAACAACAUUAUUGAUGCCUACAACAAAAGAAUCAUCCAUAGAAACCGAUCUCCUAGGCCGAAUACUGCCACUAACCGCAUCGACAACUGGUCUUCCAUUUUCACAAACCUCCAAUUGCCCUCCUUCGCCUUCUACCCUAUUCCUCAACUCAGAAUCAUGAACCCUAUUUUGAAACCCUAAAUUGGAUUCAGAUUCACCACUACUUUCAUCAACAUUUCUCUGUUCCAAUGAAGUUGAAUGAGAAUCAACAACAACAGAUUCCAAAGACUCAACCCUCGCAAUUGUAGGGUUAGUAUUAAUAAUUGGAGCUCUACACAUAGGACAAUUAGUAUGAGAUCUAAGCCAAGUAUCAAUACAAGGUAAAUGAAAAGCAUGAUGACACUUAGGUAAAAGCCGAAGACUUUCAUCUUCUUCAAACUCACUCAAACAAACGGAACAUUCAGUUCCUUCAAUCAAACCUUCACCUUUCUUAUACUUACAAACACUAAUUGCAUUUAUAACAGAUUGUUGAAGACCUAGGGUUCGAAUAUACCAAAUUGGAUGAUCCACAACAGAAUCAUGUUGUUGUUCAUCAUCAAAAUUCAUCACCAGAGUUUGUUGAAUCCUCGAUGAUAAUGAUGAUGAGGAUGGUGGUGGCGGUGCUCUUGUCCUUGCCACAGCCCUUAACCUUAGCAUCCUUCUUCUUGACCUAAAAUUGACAUAAAUUGCACGGAUACAAACAAGGAAGAAAAUAAAAGCAAGAAUAGAAAGAGUGAUGAUGAAGUAAUUGGCGAUUUUGUGCUGGUUUUGAUUUGAAUUGUAGAAUGGGAAUUCUUGUUGCGGUGGUGGUGGUGGUGAAGAGUAGUGAAAAGGGUUUUGGAGAUUGGUUAAACAGAUAUUGAAGCAAACAGUGCAAUCUUUGUUUGAUGAACAAUUAGGUAAAUAUUCAUUUACGUGACAAAUGGAGUCGCAUAUUUCUGGGAUCAAUUUUCUGUGAUGCAAUCCCAUUUUAUUAUAAUGACUUCAUUACAAUUCUAUUCCGAUCAAGAUGAUGAUAAAGUGAGUUUUACAACUUUGACUUCUCAGCUUCUGUUGAACUAGUAUUAUAUAAUUAAAUCAAGUCUUAUAUGAAUGUUAAUAGAGUGUAAUAUUAUUACAAUUUACAAGGGAAAAUUAUAUUCUCUUCCCUAGAACUUUAUUAAAAUGGGAUCCACCUCCUCUAAUUUUAAAAUAUGCAGUAACUUUGGGUUUUAUUAAAAUAACAUUGACACAUUCUCUGGCUUUAGUGAUAGGAAAAAAGAUGAAUAUGAAUAAUAUUUAUCUAUAUUGUUUUAUCUUUCACUAGGAACUUUUAUUGGUAUAUAAAUUUAAGGGAGAUUAAGGCAUAUUUUAAAAUUAGAGGAAAUAUCGGUGUAUCAAACGUUCUUGAAGACAAGUGUAAUUAUCCCAUAUUAUAAUCCUUUAAAAAUAAUAAUAAAAUAAAAAAUAUAUCAGCGUGUUUUUCAUGUUAUUUUGUCUUGGACUUUUAAAAUAUUUGAUUUGAUUAAUUUUCAUGUGGAUUGUUGGUUAGUUAGACUUUACUUUCAAAUUUAAUUCAAAUUGAAAUUUUCUUUUUUAGGUGGAGAAGCCCAAGUGUUGAAGGUUUCGAUUGAAGACAAUGAUGAUGAUAUGAUCAUCAAGACAUUGUGAAGCUGUAAGUUUUUCCACUAUAUGCAGUUGAUAAAGUUGCAUGAGGAAAACUAGUUUGUUUCCGUGAUGUUUGUAGAGUUUGUUCCAAGGUGGUGAUUUGUGAGAAUUUUGGAUCGAACUCUAGUCUCGACAAGGGUAAUUUCUUGGUUCGAUAUAAGCUUAACAUGUAGUCGAAGUUUGUUAACAUGUUGAUUCAAUAUGUUAUAGUCAAAGUAUGCUUAAGCAUGCACUAGUCGAAAUGUUAGAAUUGUUAGCAUGUCGAAUUGAGCAUUUUGUUUAGCCUAAUUGUUUAAGUUAGUUUAGUAGUCUAUAAAUAUAUUGUUUCUCUUAAGUUGUUGAGAGAAAGUUUUAGUUGUUGAUAUUCACUUGUAAUCUUUGAAUCCUUAUUGAGAAAGUGAAUAGUCAAUCAGUUAUAACCCAUCCUGAUUCUUCUUCUUCCUUCUUAUCUUCUAUGUCUUUCGUAAAACCUAAUAGGGUUUCUUAUGUUUGUUCAAAAAACCCAAUCUUUCUCAUAUUUUGGUUUGCUCUUGGCGAUAUCGAUUCACAACACCAUCCAAUACCACUAUUUCAACCCAUUUUUCAUUUCUCAAUUAGGGGUGUAUCUAACGGAAUGGAAUAAAUAAUACAAUUACAAUCUUGUCCUCCAAAUUUCCACUUACAUUAAAUGUUCUUAUUCCUUAUUUUAAUUUGUUGAAAAAUUGAUAUGAAUUUGAAAGAGUCAUAUGUAUUAAUUAAUAAAAGUUAAUUAGGUAGAAAUUAAUUAAUUAAUAUUAAUUAGUUAUGAAUUAAUAAUUAUAAGGUGUCACUCAUCAAAACUUAGUUUUGACUAAGUAACCAUCUCCCACUAUUUUCUCUCCACUCAGUUGAAUCUUUUACCCAUAAAUAGGGUUCCUCAAUUCAAUUGCAAAUCACUCCAGAUUUCUAAAAUUUUUGAAAUCUCUCUUCUCCCUUUUUAUUCUCUUCAUCUCAAAUUAUUUCUAUUCUUCUUUAUUUUUUGAGCGGCUUAUUGUGUCAUCAACGACUGAUUUUUUCUAGAUACUACAAGUGGUUUAAACACCAUCUAACGAUGUAUUUCUUCGAACGAUUUAUUAUAGUCCAAGUGAUAAUCAUAAAAUUGAACGAGCUCUUUUAUCCUGGAGACGUCGUCGAAACUCGAGUGCAUUGCAUAAUUAUUGGAAGUACGACAAAACGUCGUAAAGAAAGCGAUUUAGUACGCGACUCGGCCGCUGCUGUCUCUGACAAACCAUUCAAGUUUGAGGGUUUUCACUUCAAACGUUGUUAAGAUAAGAUGAAAAAAUUUCUUAACUUUAAAGAAGGUUACCCACGUUCUGACUGAGGAUAUCCAUGUUGCUCCUUAUGGAUCACUCGAAUAAACUAAUGGUAAGAACUCUGUUGAUUCAUAUGGAAUUGCUAAAACUGAUGAAUCUGCGAGUAAUUUACAGCUCAGGAAAGAAAUCGGCUUAUGGCAUGAGAGUGACUAUCUUUGUAAAAAUCACAUUUUGGACAGUCUUGUUGAUGAUUUGUACGAUUAUUACGGUAACUGUAAGACUGCUAACCAUGUAUGGGAAGCUCUCUAGAAGAAAUAUGAUACUUAAGAAGCAGGUGCAAAGAAAUAUGCUGUCAGCGGCUACUUAAACUAUAAGAUGGUGGAUGAAAGGUCUGUGGAAGCUCAAAGCCACUAAAUUCAUAAAAUUGCUCAUGAAAUCAUAACUGAAGGUAUGCCCUGGAUGAAAAUUUUCAGAUUGCUGUUAUAAUUGACAAACUGCCCCCUGGUUGGAAAGAUUUUUAAAAUUUGCUUCGGCACAAAACAAAAGAGUUUUUCAAUCGAGAGUCUGAUCACUCACCUCCGAAUUAAAGAGGAGGCUAGGAGACAAGAUCAAAAAGAUAAAUUCUUAAUUGUUUCUAACAACGACAAGAGAUUCGGUGUGGUUCUGAAGCCUACGGGAAAACCAUUAAAGAAUCAGAAUCGCAAUGUUGUGAACCGAAUUAAGAAUGGGAAUCCCUCAAGGGUCCCAUAUGCUCCGAUUGUUAGACAUCAACCACCACCUCAGAGAAAUGAUGCUCUGAUCUUCACUUGCUUUAAUUGUGGAAAACCGAGUCAUAUGGCUAAGAAAUGUAACAGCAUGCCUAUACUUGUUGGCUCUAACACACAGGUUAACCUGACUGAUGAGCAAUUCAUCGCUACGAUUAGUGAAAUCAACAUGGUUGGUGGAAGUGAUGGUUGGUGGAUAGACACUGACGCCUCACGUCAUGUCUAUUAUGAUCAUGUUAUGUUUAAGGCAUAUACGAAUGCUGAAGAUAAAAAAGUGAUGUUGGGAGAUGCUCACACCACUAAUGUUGUUGGAAUUGGAGAUGUUGAGUUGAACUUCACCUCAGGAAAGACUUUGAUCUUGAAGGACGUCAUGCAUGUUCCUGAAAUUAGGAAGAAUCUUAUUUUUGGUUUUCUUUUAAAUAAGCCAGGGAAAGUCAAUCUAUUAGCGAAAAUUUGUACACCAUCACUAAGAAUGGUAUUUUUGUUGGGAAAGGGUAUGCCACCGAUGGCAUGUUUAAGUUGAAUGUUGAAUUGAAUAAAAUGUCUCCUUCUGUUUAAUCUUUGUGUGAUUUUAAUAUUUGACAUGCUAGACUUUGUCAUGUUAAUAAGCGAGUUAUUUAUAAUGCAUGCAACGUAGGCCUAAUCCCAAAAUUAAAUGUCAAUGAUUCAAAUAAAUGUGAAUGUUGUAGUCAAUCUAAAAUAAUUAAGACUUCGCAUAAAUCAAUUAUUAAAGAAUCUGAUCCCCUAGAUCUUAUACACUCUGAUAUAUGUGAAUUUGAUAGAACUUUAACUAGAAAUAGUAAAUGUUAUUGUAUCACCUUUAUUGACGAUUAUUAUGAUUAUACUUAUGUGUACUUAAUGAACAAUAAGAGUGAAGCGCUUGACAUGUUUAAGUUGUAUGUAACUGAAAUUGAGAAUCAACUUAGUAAGAAGAUUAAGAGACUUCGUAGUGAUAGGGUAACUGAAUACUAUUCUGGGUUAUGUAAUGAUUUUUAUAGUAAACAUGGAGUUGUACAUGAAACGACUGCUCCAUAUUCUUCUGAAAUGAAUGGUAAAGCAGAAAGAAAGAAUAAAACUCUUACUGAACUUGUUGCAAUUAUGAUGAAUACUGGUGUUACACCUCAUUGGUGGGGGGAAAUUUUAUUGACUAUUUGCUAUGUUCUGAAUAGAGUUCUCAAGUCAAAAACUAAUAUCUCUCCUUAUGAGAUAUUAAAGAAAAGACAACCAAACGUGUCUUAUUUAAGAACUUGGGGUUAUCUGGCAUAUGUCAGAAUUCCGGAUCUCAAACGAGUUAAACUCGCCAGUAGAGCCUAUGAAUGUGUAUUCAUUGGGUAUGCAACAAAUAGUAAGGCAUAUAGGUUUUAUGACUUAAAUGCAAAAGUGAUCAUAAAAUCAAAUGAUGUUGAAUUCUAUAAAGACAAAUUUCCUUUCAAAUUGAGAAAUAGUGGGGGCACUCAAUCGAGUCACAUUCCCAUGAUUAGAAACACAGAAAGCGACGACAAUGUAGAAACAAAACUUCGACGAAGUAAACGAGUAAGAAUUGCUAAAGACUAUGAGCCUGAUUAUGCGGCUAAUAAUGUAGAAGAAGAUCCAAUGAAUCUUCAAAAAGCCUUGUCAUCUCUAGAUGCAGAUUUAUGGCAAGAGGUUAUUAAUGAUGAGAUAGAAUCUAUGGAAGCUAACAAGACUUGACACUUAGUAGACUUUCCUCCUGGUUGCAAACCAAUCAGUUGUACAUGGGUUUUGAAAAAGUAACUAAAACCUGAUAGAACUAUUGAUAAAUACAAGGCUUGCCUUAUAGCCAAGGGUUUUAGGCAAAGAGAAAACAUAGAUUUCUUCUACACCUUUUCUCCAGUCACUAUAAUUACAUCCAUUAGGGUACUUAUUUCAAUCGUUAUUAUUUAUAAUUUAAUAGUACACCAAAUGGAUGUUAAAACAACUUUUUUAAAUGGUGACUUAGAAGAAGAAAUCUAUAUGGAAGAACCAGAAGGAUUUGUGAUAUAUGGACAAGAAAACAAGGUUUGUAAGUUAGACAAGUCUAUGUAUGGACUAAAAUAAGCUCAUAAACAAUGGCAUGAAAAGUUUGAUAACUUAAUGAUAUCGAAUGGGUACAAAGCGAAUGAAAGUGACAAAUACAUUUAUUACAAAACUCAAAAUUGCAUCUUCAUUAUCAUAUGCCUUUAUGUUGACGAUCUACUCAUAGUUGGAUCAAACAUUCAGACCAUUGAUGAUGUGAAAUCAUUGUUGUGCAACAACUUUGACAUGAAAGACCUCAGAGAAGCAAGCGUGAUCCUUGGCAUCAAGAUCAUGAGAUCCAAACAAUGAAUUUCUUUGGAUCAAUCACACUAUAUGGAUAAGAUCUUAAAGAAAUAUAAAUACUUUGACUAUAAACCUGCAUGCACACCAUAUGAUCAAAGUGUGAAAUUGUUUAAGAACACUGGUGAAAGUGUCAGACAAACAGAAUAUGCAAGCAUCAUUGAAAGUCUUAGGUAUGCCACUGAUUUUACUAGACCCGACAUUGCAUAUGUCGUAGGAUUGUUGUGCAGGUUUACGAGUAGAUCGAGUAACGAGCACUGGAAAGCUAUUGAGCGAGUAAUGAGGUACCUUAAAAAGACCAUGGAUCUCGGCCUACAUUAUCAUAAAUUUCUUGUUGUAUUAGAAGGGUACAGUGAUGCAGAUUAGAACACUUUAUCGAAUGAUUCCAUAGCUACAACUGGUUAUAUAUUUAGUAUAGUUGGAGGAGCAGUAUCUUGGAAAUCAAAGAAACAGACUAUCUUGGCUUAGUCCACAAUGGAGUAUGAGAUGAUAGCACUAGCCACAACUAAUGAAGAAGUAAGUUGGUUAAGAUGCUUACUAGCUGAGAUCCCUUUAUCGAAAAAGCUCAUGCCAACUGUGUUAAUCCACUACGAUAGUGCCGCGACUAUUGCAAAAAUUGAGAACCAUUAUUAUAAUGGUAAAAGAUGUCAAAUAAGAAGAAAGCACGACGCCAUCAGAGACUAUAUCUCUAAAGGAGCUACAAGAAUGGAUCAUGUACGCACUGAUAAAAAUUUAGCGAAUUCUUUGACGAAAGGAUUAGCUAGAGAGAAAGUCUAUAAUACAUCUAAGAAGAUAGGACAAAUGCAUAUAAAGAAAUGAGUUGCCCAUGUUGGUAACCUGGCCUAGAUAAUUAGAGAUCCCAAGAAAUAGGUUCAAUGGGUAAUAAUAAGUUAUGAGUAAUAUGAGAUGAUCAUGCAAGUGAAGCAUGAAUCAUGAAGUAAUAAGAGGUUGAGAUAAUAGAAUCUCUUAAUGAGAUCUAUAUUCUGUAUGAGGGAGUACUUAGGCUACAUGAGUACUCUUGAUAGAUUCACCUUUGUGAUUGUGGAACUUGAGCCGGUUCCUAUGGAAUUUCGGGACAUAAUUCCUAGAGCCUUCACUAAACCGGGAUACACGUGCAGAGCUAUUAAAGCACGAACUAUUAGAAUACACCUUAAGAAAAGGUUGUGUGUGUGUUUGAUGUCUGAGAUAGAGUUCAAGACAAUUAUGUCACUCUUGUUGAAUCAGAAUCAUACUUGUUACACAAAGUUUCAAGUCGUAGACUUCUAAAGUCGUAGACUUCUAGAAUCAUACUUGUUACUUAUGCACAAUCUUAGAAAUGUUUGACGUUACUUCUAAAAUCACCUUUUAAAUUCAAGUGGGGGAUUAUUGAAAAAUUGAUGUGAAUUUGAUAUUAAUUAAGGGAAGUUAAUUAGGUGAAAAUUAAUUAAUAUUAAUUAAUUAAUAAUUAAUAAUUAUAAGGUGUCACUAAUCAAAACCUAGUUUUAACUAAGUAACUUUCUCCCACUAUUUUCUCUCCACUCAGAAUCCUUUACCCAUAAAUAUGGUUCCCCAGUUUAGUUGCAAAUCACUCAAGAUUUCUGAAUUUUUAGAAUCUCUUUUCUCCCUCUUUAUUCUCUUCAUCUCAAAUUAUUUUUAUUUUUCUUUAUUUUUUGAAUGAUUUAUUAUGUCAUCAACGAUUGAAUUUUUUCAUAUAUUACAAGUGGUUUAAACAUCAUCUGAAGGUGUAUUUCUUUGAACAAUUUAUUACAGUGCAAGUGAUAAUCGUAAAAUUGAACGAACUGUUUUAUCCCGGAGACGUCGUCGAAAUUCUACUGCAUUGCAUAAUUAUUGGCAGUACGGUAAAACGUCUUAAAAAAAGAAAACAACCUAAUACGUGACUCGUCCCGAUAAUUUUCUUUGUGGAAAAUUUUUCAAAACCGUUAAACAACACAAUUUAUGUGGUAUUCUUCCAUUGCAACUCUUCUCAGAUCUUGUUCCAUAACAAAGUACACCAUAUUUCUUCUAUUUUUUCAUGUGUGCUCUAAUAAAUGAAUUUGAGUUGUGUUUAACUUAACCUCAAUUUUACAUGACAUAUAUGAAUGUUAAUUGAGUGUAAUAUUAUUACAAUUUACAAGGAAAAAUUAUAUUCUCUUCCCUUGAAAUUUAUUAAAAUGAUAUUCAUUCCUCCUCUAAUUUUAAAAUAUACAUUUUGUUCGAGGUUUACUAAAAUAACAUUGACACAUUUUCUAGCUUUUAAUGAUAAAAGAAAAUAAAUAUAAAUGACAUUUACAUAUAUUCUUUUAUCUGUCAUUAAAAUUUUUGAUUGUUAUAUAAAUUUUAAAAAGAUUAAUGCACAUUUUAAAAUUAAAAGAAUGUUGGUGUAUAAAACCUCUAGAAGACCGGUGUAAUUAUCUCAUAUUAUAAUCCUCUAAUAAUAAUAAAAUAGAAGAAAUAUCAGUGUGUUUUCUAAGUUAUUUUAUCUUUGACUUGUAAAACAUUUGAUUUAUUGAUUUUUAUGUGAAUGGUUGGUUAGUUGGACUUUACUUUCAAAUUCAAUUUAAAUUGAGAUUUUAUUUUCAUAUUAAAUCUCUCAUAAAUGUUUGAAAUUGAUAAAUAUUUUUUGCUUGAACUAUAUGGAAAAGUAAAUCCUGAAAAAAUAAAGGAUCUAAAAGGUACUUCUUUAAGGCAUGGCGGAGAUGUUUAGGGAUAGUAAGGCAACAUUGAGAUUGUGCAUUACAGAGAGUUUUAGAGGUGAUAAAUUUUUAUGCAGUUUCAACUAUUGUUUGGAUGGCCAUUUCAGCUCGCAAUUUUAAGAUGUAUUGAUUAUUUCCGAAUUCAAAUCUACUAUAUUUCAUAAGUCUUGCAUAUUUUUCAAUUCAAAUCUACUGCAACAUUUCACAAGUGUUGUCUAUUUCUGAAUUCAAAGAUUAAUCUUCACUUGCAUAUUUUCUUGUCAUUUUAGAACACACUCAAGAUUAUUAAUUGUUAACAAUUUACAACAAUUCUCCACUUAUUCUAAUAAUGACAAGACCAAUUCCAGAAAAGAGAAACAAAGAAUGUUAAUACAGUUAAGUAUCUUUCGAUUUGAACUUAAUCUGAGUAAGGAUAAUGCAAAAUCUAAUCGAAAUGUUAGGUAGCAAUGCUCUGAAAUGUUAUCCCUUGUGAUUAAACCGGUGUUACCUUACACACACUCUUUAUUGAUUCUUCGCCUAUAUCUCUUUCCUAACACUAUUUAUGGGCGUGUGCUUAUCUUGUUUUCGUAAAAUUUUCAUGAGGGAAACUUUAAAUCUCGCUUUGAGACAACAUCAUCUCAAAAUUCACAUAGGUGAAGUUAAUAUUGUAUUUACUCUCUUGAGAUACUUAACCCUCAAUAUGUAAAUAGUCAACAUUGUCACAUAAUGUUGCAUAAACAUCCAAUUAAAUGACUUGUUGUUACCCAAUGAAUCUUAGGUUAAGGUUUGUUAACUUCAUACUGGGUUGUUGUCGUUGUUGGAACUCUUAUUCAAGGAGUUUCAAUCACAUACCUUUGUUUUUUGAUUUUUUUAUAUUCCCUCAUUUCUUUUAUUUUAUGAUUAUAUUGUUAAUCAAUAAACCGAUCAUACUCUAUUUUUUGAGAAUCACUUUCACAACAAAAUGGUGCGGUGAGCAUGAAGGAGAAGAUGUCGCCAACAAAGUAUGAGAUUGAAAAAUUAACCAAUAUGAAUAAUUUCGGUAUGUGGCGCUUGAAAAUGCAAGCCCUAUUGAUUUAAUAGGGUUUGUUUGAAAUGCUGAAAGGAUCAGAAAUGAUGGAUGUCGCUCUAACGGAGAAGGAGAAUACGAUGAUGAUCAAGAAAACCCACAGUGCAAUCAUGUUAAGCCUUAGUGGUAAGGUUCUAAGGCAGGUCUUGAAGGAGAAAACUGCAACGGGUGUAUGGAUUAAACUCAAGAGUUUAUAUAUGACCAGAUCUUUAGUCAAUCACCUCUACUUAAAGAAAACUUUGUAUUCAUUCAAGAUGAGUGAAGACAAAGUCUUGGUGGAGUAGCUGGAUGUGUUCAACAAGUUGAUUCUUAAUCUUGAAAAUAUCUAGGUCAAGAUUAAUGAUUAAGAUCAAGCAUUAUUGUUGUUGUGUGCUUUACCUAAAUCUCAUGCUCAUUUCAAAUAAACUCACUUGUAUGGAAGAGAAUCGUUGACCUUCGAAGAAGUCCAAUCAACCUUGUACUCUAAGAAUUUGGACGAACGAAAGGAGCAUAUGUCAUCCUCUGUUAGUGAAAAUUUGUGUGUUAAGGAUAAAUUCUCAAAGAAAGAUGGUAGGUUUGAGAAGAAGAUGGGUAAAGUUCUAAAAAGUUCUUAUGGUGGUUAUUCUACUGCAAUUAGGUGUUAUCAUUGUAAGAAGGAGGGUCACACAAGAAAGGUGUGCCCUGAUUGAUUGAAAAAUCAUGGUGGAAAGGAUAAUGGUAAUGUAGUCAUUGUGCAAGAUGAUUAUGAAUCAUAUGAUAUCCUGGUGGUUUCAAGCAGCAACUCUAGCAAGGAAUGAAUUAUGGAUUCAGACUACAUUUGACACAUGACUCCAAACAAAUGUGUGUUUAAGGAACUAUAUGAUCAAGAUGACGGAUCACUGUGGCGAGGAAACAACAAAGUCUGCAAAUUAUAGGUAUUGGAUUUGUAAAAUUCGAGCUUUGUGAUGAGUCAAUAAGACUAUUGUUUGAUGUCAGGUAUGUACCUGAUCUUAAGAGGAAUUUGAUUUCUCUUGGUGAAUUCGACAAGAAAGGAUAUGUUUAAAAAGGAGAGCAAAGUAUCCUAAGGGUAAUGAUGGGGUAGAAGGAAGUCUUGACAGGUGUCAAGAGGCAAGGCUUGUAUAUCCUUGAGGUUGAGGUUGUAAAUGGUUCCGUAGAUGUGGCAUCAAUAAAACAUGUGUCAAAUAUUGAGCUAUGGCACAAGAUACUUGGCCAUGUCAGUGAAAGAGGUCUGGUCAGAUUGUCGGAAAAAAUCUGCUAUGUGGUGACAAGGUCGAAAAAUUGGAGUUUUUUUAACCUUGUGUAUUUGGUAAAUCCUGUAGAGUGAAGUCAAACAAAGUUAAACAAAGAAAACGUGGAUCCUUUGAUUAUAUCCAUGCUGAUAUUUAAGGGCCUGCAAGAAAUCCUUCACACUCAGGUGUAAUAUAUUUUAUAUCCAUAGUUGAUGAUUACUCACAAAAGUUGUGGGUAUUCAUUCAGAAAUAUAAGGAUGAAACUUUUGAAAAUUUCGAAAGUUAGAAGACUCUGGUCGAAAACCAAACUGGAAGGAAGGUCAAGAGGUUGAGGAAUGAUAAUGGUCUUGAAUUUUACAAUGAGGCUUUCGACAAUUAUUGUGUUGCGUACGGUAUUACAAGGCACAUAACUAUUGCAGGUAGUCCCAACAAUAUGGUUUGGCUGAAAGGUUUAAUCAAACCAUUCUGGAAAGAGUGGGUGCAUGUUGAUUAGUGCGGGAUUAAAAAAGGUUUUUUGGGCUGAGGUAGUCAUGAUUGCAACUUACUUGAUAAAUAGGUGCCCUGCCUUGGGGAUGAAGACAACUAAAGAAGUCUGGUUGAGACAUCCACCUAAUCUCGACAGGCUUAGAGUAUUCGGCUGCUUAGUCCAUGCUCACAUUAGGAAAGACAGGGUCAAACCUAGAGCUCUGAGAUGUAUGUUUCUUGAAUACCAUAAAGGAGUCAAAGCUUAUAUGUUAUGGUGCCUAUAGCUCGGUCAUAGGAGGUGUAUCACAAGUCGAUAUGUAGUUUUUCUUGAAGAAGAAAUAACAUUCAAGAAAACUGACGAGGCUGGUCGAAAUACGAAGAUCUCUAAAGAGAAGCUGGAAUAGGAAGAGAUUCAUGUUAAGGUGGAGCAUAAUGAUGUUGAAUUUUCAUAACUUAGAUGAAGUCAAAGGAUAAGCACAAGUUGCUAACAAAGUUGAGGAGACUGAUAAUGACUACGUGCCAGCAAGAGACAUGUCAAAAGAGUCAUCAAGCCACCUCAGAGACUUGGUUAUGCAGAUCUCAUAGCUUUUGCCUUAAUUUCUGCAAGUGAGGUUCUUGAUGAAGAACCCAGAAACUACAAGGAAGUUGUGAUGAGUCAAAAUAAGAAUAAAUGGAUGAAAGCCAUAGAUGAUGAAAUGAAAUCUCUUCAUGAUAAUAACACCUGAGAGCUUAUCGAAAAACCUGCAGGGGCCAGGUUAGUCAGUGUUAAGUGGAUCUUCAAGGUUAGGGAAUGAGUCGGAAAAGUGAUGUCAAAACGACUUAAGGCAAGGUUGGUUCCCAUGGGGUUCACUCCUAAAGAAGGCUUCAAAUUCAAUGAUGUGUUCUCACCUAUUCUAAAUCAUAAAUCCAUUCAAAUGUUGCUUACUAUGGUGGCAAAGUUCAACCUUGAACUUGAAUAGAUGGAUGUGAAAAUAACCUUCUUAUAUGAUUAUCUAGAUGAAACAAUCCUGAUGAGGAAACCUGAAGGAUAUGCAUAAAAGGGAAAGGAAGAUUAUGUGUGCAAGCUGAAUAUGUUGUUAUAUGGCCUGAAAUAAUCUCAUCAACAAUGGAUUAGGAGAUUCGACAAGUUCAUGACACACAUAGGUUUCAUUAGGAUCCAAUUCGACCACUGUAUUUACUUUAGAUUUAGACCUGGAAAUUACUUGUUACUUUGUUGCUUUAUGUGGAUGACAUCCUCAUAGCAAGCAACAAUGUCAAACAUGUUAUAAAGGUGAAGGUUGAACUUGAUAAGGAGUUCAACAUGAAGAAUAUAAGAGUUGCCUCCAAUAUUCUUGGGAUUGACAUGCAGAGAGAUAGAAAGUAUACGAGAUUAUGCUUAUCUCAAGAGACUGACCUAAAGAAGAUUUCUCGAAAAGUUUGGUAUGUCAAAUUCAAAGGUUGUUGUAACACCAACUGAUCCUCAAUUCAAGCUAAGUACGAAUCAAAGUCAUAGUAUUGAAGUCGAAAGUGCCUAUAUGAAUAACAUUCCAUAUGCUAGUAUAAUAUCUUCUUUUAUGUAUGUUAUGGUUUGUAUGGGGACAUACAUAUCGUACAGAGUGAGCCUUAUAAGCAGAUAUAUGGCUAAUCCUGGGAAGGCGCACUGACAAGCUUUAAAGUGGAUCCUAAGGUACAUAAAUGAGAGUUUGAGAAGAGUCUUGAUUUAUGGUGAAGCCUAUGGUGAUGAUAGAAAAGUUGAAAUCGAAGGAUUUGUUGACUCUGAUUAUGCAUGUUGUAUGGAUUCCAAAAAAUCUAUUUUUGGAUAUGUGUUCACUAUAUUUGGCAUAUCAAUUAGUUGGAAAAUGACACUUCAAAAGGUUGUUGACUUAUCAACCACGAAAAUAGAGUAUAUUUCCCUCAUUGAAGUUGCGAAAGAAGCAUUGUAGCUUGAAGAUUUUUCUAAGAAGCUAAAACUUCAUGGUCGAGUUAUCACUAUUAAAUGUGAUAGUCAAAGUGUCAUACACAUGUCGAAAAAUUCAUCCUAUCAUGAGCGAAUCAAGUACAUUGAUAUAAGGCUGCAUUUCUUCAAAAAGAUAAUCGAGCGUGAAGAAGUCCAAGUGCUUAAGAUUUCGAAUAAUGACAAUGUUGUUGGUAUGAUCACUAAGUCAUUGUCAAGUAGCAAGUUCUUCCACUGUAUGCAGGUGAUAAAGCUGCAUGAUGAAAACUAGUUUGUUCCCUUAUUGUUGUAGAGUUUGUUCCAAGGUGGAGAUUUGUGGUAUUUUGGAUCAAACUCUAGUAUCAACAGAGAUAACAUCAUGUUUCGGCAGUAUUUGUGAAUGUUGUGGUCGAAGUUUGUUAAAACAUGCAGUAGUCGAAGAUAUGCGAGUUGUAGUCGAAGCUUGUUCUAGCAUGUUGUCGAAAUAUGUUAACUUGUUGUUUAAGUUAGCAUGUCGAAUUGGGUCAGUAUGUUUGGUCAAUUGUUUAGUAUGUUAGUUGAAAGGUAUGAUUUAGUUUUCUUAUAAAUAACAUAUUAGUCAUCAUUUCUCCAUCAAUUCCUGAUAAUUCUAAUAAGAGGGAGAAAGUGGUGUGGUUGAGAUUCAAUUGUAAAUAUUAUUCACUAAUGUUAAUUGAAUUAAGCAUCCAAUUUUUUUUAUAUCACUUUGAAUUGUCUUUCUCUUCUCUUCUCUCAUUUCUUUUACUUUAUGAUUUUCUUGUUAAUUAAGAAAUCGAUCUUAUUAUAUUUUCUUGAUAUCGCUUUCACUACAAUAAUUUGUAACAAGAAAAUUGUGUUUGCUUAUAAACCGUUAUGGAGAGAGUACCUUGUUAGGAUGUUAGGGUAGAAGCAAAAUAGACUCUUUUUGCAAGAAUAACGCAUGAGAAUGAGAAGAGUUGUGGUAGAAGAGUACUCGAAUAUCCAAUAAAAUUGAAAUAAGGAAUAAAAAUAGUUAAUAUAAGUGAAAAUUUGGAAGAUAAAAUUGUACUUUUUUUAUUAAUUUAUUUUAUUUCAUUGAUACAACAUCGCAAAUUGGAGGGGAUGAGAGAAUGAAAAAUGAGCUAAAAUAGUGGUAUGGUACGGAACCACUUCCAUCCCACUUCAUUUCGUUCUAUUGAUUUUUUUGUAAAAUUAGAACAUUUCAUUUCAUACCAUGGAUGAAAUGGAUUUCAUCACAUUCCAUUUCAUUCAUUUUUUUUUUUUUGUAAAACCAAAUAAUUGAAGAUGAUUUCAUUCCAAUACGUCCCAUUUCAUCCAUUUUCAUCUAUCCAAAUUGACUUAUGGAGGGUGUAUUUCUCUGAAGAUUUUAAAUUUGAAUCUCAAUAGACAAUGAAAUUGAUUGAUAGGUCACAUUAGGUCUCUAAGGCCAGAUAGGUAGAGUUAAAAAAAACCAGCAAAAAUAUCAAAAGCAACAAAAUACAAAAUUCCAACCACUUUAAAUCAUAAGCAUUAACUUAGUAUACAUAUUCCCUACUUGCUAAUAACAACCUAGCGGCAUUGUUUUACAAAACACCUAAAUUGAAUACAAACAUAAACACUAGCAUUCAAGCACAGCAGAAACCAAACAAAGAAGAAUCGAACAGAACAAAAUACCAAAACUUAUCGAGUCGAACACGGCAAUAGAAUGGAGUUGAACGGCGGCGAGCAACUGGAGUUGAAUGACGACGAGCUAAUGGUUUGAACAACGGUGGCAAAAUGAUUCAAUCGGUUUCCAUCGAUUUAACUAUAUCAAUCAACCCAAUCAACUUCAUUACCUAUUUUAAUGAUUUAUAAUUAAACUUUAAUUACAUCAUAUAGGAUUAGAAUCUUCAUUUAUUAAUCUGUAUAUUUUUUUCUUUCUACAACUAUUAAUAAAAAAAAAUAGUGUUUACGUUUAAUAUCAAAUUUUUAUAUGAGAUUAAUUACUAUACACUGUCAGUGUAAAAAGUUUUACACCGUCGAUUCAUCACCAUCAUCCGUUUGUAUUACUUUAUAGAUUUUUAAAAUAAAAGUCAAACUUCUUUUAAUAUUCGACGUCUAUGAUUAAUUGACGGUGUAAAAUCCUUUUACAUUGUCAGUGUAUUUCAAUUAAGCUCUUUUUAUAUUUCAAAACAAAACAAUAGUUUUGAAGUGUUAUUUUUGCACUGACUUUAUUGGUUUUCCAUUGUAGUGGUGUGACUCUAUAGGAAAAUGAUUCUAGGGAAAAUUUAAAUCUGUUUUUGUGCUGUGAUAUUUCCUCCUUGUUGUUUCCAUAUUUAGAGAAGAUAUGAAUGACUACAUAUAGUAGUAGUUUUAUAUUGCAAUUCAAAUUUGGCAUUAGAUUCUUGCUUAAAACAAGGGAAGCCAAUAUAAAUGUGGAUAAAUAAAGCAAUUGCUCUCUGACAAGAUAAUUCAUGUUGAUCACAUACACAGAAUGUCAUGUGAUGAAUAAAUCUACAUCAUAUAUGGAACAAUAUGAGCAAAAAGUUGAAUAAAACAUUUAUUUGUAACUUUAUUGUUUUGCUAUUAUACACUUGAUGCAUAACAUAGUUUUUGUUAAUGCAUACAGAAAACUUUGAAAAUCUCAGCCUCUCAGCUUGUUGAGAGUUACUGAGUUACAUGUAUAUAUAUACUUCAGUUGUGAAGUUACAAUAAAAGCUAAUAACAAUAACACAAAAUCAAAAGCUUCUCAGAAUAGCAUUUGGCUUUUUCUGAUUGCGGCUAUACCAAGACAGAAGAAAUUUCCCAUUGUAUGAACUUGAUCUCUUCAUUGGACUAGCAACACCCUGCAAAUAUCUUGUUGACCUAAAAGAAAAGCUACUACUACCACCUUUGGAUGUAGUUGCUAAAUUCUCACUUCCAUUAACCUUUGAAACACUAUCUUCAUCACCAUUACAUUCCUUUGACAGAACAGUUGCAACAACACUAUUGAUACCUACAACAAAAGAAUCAUCCAUAGAAACCGAUCUCCUAGGCCGAAUACUGCCACUAACCGCAUCGACAACUGGUCUUCCGUUUUCACAAACCUCCAAUUGCCCUCCUUCCCCUUCUACCCUAUUCCUCAACUCAUAAUCAUGAACCCUAUUUUGAAACCCUAAAUUGGAUUCAGAUUCACCACUAUUUUCAUCAACAUGUCUAUCAUCCAAUGAAGUUGAAUGAGAAUCAACAACAAUAGAUUCCAAAGACUGAACCCUCGCAAUUGUAGGGUUAGUAUUAACAAUUGGAGCUCUACACAUAGGACAAUUAGUAUGAGAUCUAAGCCAAGUAUCAAUACAAGGUAAAUGAAAAGCAUGAUGACACUUAGGUAAAAGCCUAAGACUCUCAUCUUCUUCAAACUCACUCAAACAAACAGAACAUUCAGUUCCUUCAAUCAAUCCUUCACCUUUCUUAUACUUACAAACACUAAUUGCAUUAAUAACAGAUUGUCGAAGACCUUGAGUUCGAAUAUACCAAAUUGGAUGAUCCACAAUAGAAUCAUGUUGUUGUUCAUCAUCAAAAUUCAUCACCUGAAUUUGUUGAAUCCUUGAUGAUAAUGAUGAUGAGGAUGGUGGUGGUGGUGCUCUUGUCCUUGCCACUGCCCUUAACCUUCGCAUCCUUCUUCUUGACCUAAAAUUGACAUAAAUUGCACGGAUACAAACAAGGAAGAAAAUAAAAGCAAGAAUAGAAAGAGUGAUGAUGAAGUAAUUGGCGAUUUUGUGCUGGUUUUGAUUGGAUGAGGAGUAUAAUGGAAAUUCUUGUUGUGGCGGUGGCGGUGGCGGUGACGGUGGUGGUGGAUAAUAGUAAUUAGGGUAUUGAGGAUUGGUUUUGAGACAGUUUCUGAAGCAAUUAGCGCAAUCAUUGUUGAGUGAACAUUUAGAUACAGAGUCUAUUCCAUGGCAUAUCAACUCGCAUAACUCUGGGAUCAGUUUUCUGUGAUGAUGUUCCAUUUUAUAAUUCAACUCAGAUUUUCAUCUAAGUUGAAGUUGAUGAUGAUGAUGAUGAUGAAGUGAGAUUUACGAUUUUGACUUUUCAGCUUCCAUUGUACUAGUACUAUUAUUAUAUGAAUAUGAAUGGAGUGUAACGAUCCUCAAAGGAUAAUUAAAAUAAGGGGAAAUAAUUCGUCUUUGACUUUUAUGUAAUUUGAUUUGAUUGAUUUUUCUGUGGACAGUUGGUUAGUUGGACUUCACUUUCAAAUUCAAUUCAUAUUAUGUCAGUUAGUUUGGGAGAAUUUUUAAUACAAUUUUUAUUAAAUUUUUGAAAUAAAUAAAUGUGAGAUUACUAUGAAUAAAUGAAAUAAAUAAAUGACAAAAUUUCAAGUCGGUAAGUGAUUAAUGAGUUUAUUGUUGAAGAAAUUUGAAAUCAACAACAAGAGUAUCCCUUCCAAGUUAGUAGUCCCACAUUGUAGUACGAUGGACCGAUAUCACUUCCAUUUACUCUCAAUAUAUUCUCUCCCAAUGCGACACCAGUAUAAAGAAAUGGGUAAUGUUAAUUUGUAUCCCAAGGACACAAGUUAAGAGAUAAAUAUAAAAAUAAAUUAUUGAAAAAUAUAUAUUGAAUUUAUUAGUAAUUUAUCAUCAAUAAUUUUAUUUAUUUUUCCAAAAUAAAUUUUUUAUUUUUGAAUUUCUUAACUUGUGCCUUUGAGGCACAAGUUAGCAUUACCCUAAAGAAAUAGCAACCAGGUUGGUUGGCAAAGGAUUAUAUCCAAUAAAUACAGAUAAAUAUUUUAUGUAACUAAGUCAAUACUAUAGUUAUUACUAAUUCUUAAUUAUAUUAUAACUAUUAAUCAAUUGAAGAUUACAUAGUCUAGAUCCUAGAUCUAUCACAUGAUUAACAUCUAACAAAUCAAUAACAACUAGAGGAGUAAGCAUGAGGAAUCAAAGGAACAUCGCUGAAUUCACAGCAGCGAUACAUGAUAUCAUGUUGACACAAUAAGCAAUAACACCAUUAAAUCCCACACAUGAUGUUUAUGAAAUUUUAGGAAAAUGGAAUUUCUUUUGUUCAGGAUAGAACUGCUCUCUUAUUCCUGCUUUUCUCAACAUCACUUAUCAUUCUAAGAUCAUGGGUUUGGGAUGGAUGCUUGCCAGCUUUUUCCUUACAGAUUUACUAGGUAUUUUCGAUGAACUCCUCUUGUUUGAUGUUAUAUUAGUAUUGACUUGCUUACGUGAAAUAUUUAUCUACAACCUGUUGUUAUUGAGUAUGAUCUUUUGUCAGGCCUGGUUAUUAUUUCCUUAUAUUGAUUUCGCAUUGUGAGAGAACAUAUUGAGAGUAAAUGGAAGUGAAAUUCGUCCAUGGUACUAUAGUGUAGGACUACUAACUUGGAAGGGAUACUCUUAUUGUUGUCGAUUUCGAAUUUCUUCAACAAUAAUCUCAUUGAUCACUUACCAACUUGGAAUCCUGUCAAUUUGUUUGUUUCUUUUAUUCAUAGUAAUUCCUAAUUGUUUUCAUUACAAACGUUUUUAAUGUUUAUAUAUCUUUCACAAACACAACAAGUUAACUGUGGGUUAGAAAGAUGGACGAAAGACAUGGAUCAAAAAAGCUAGGCCUAAAGUGUUUCAUUUAAAAUUUUGAUUAAUUAAUGAAUUACAAAAAUUAAUAAAAAAUAUUAACAAUUUAUUUUUUAUUAAUUAAAAAAUAUUAAUAAAUUCAUUAUCCUAAUCAAUAAAAAAAAUCUCAAAUUAAUUUUAAAAUGACCUGACAUUAACAUGUCAUAUUAGAUAGCGGCACAUCAUUAAAAAAACGUCUCAAAUUGGAGAGGGGACUAAAAUCAAACUCAAAACUUAAAAAAAAAAAAAAAACUAAAAUCAUGGUUUUUAAAAGGGGAGAUCAAAAUUCAAAAGAAUAGGGGGAUUAUAGUUACAAUUAAGCCAUUAAUAUAUGAAGAGUCCUGUUAUUUAAAUAUAAAAUAUUUUACAUGAAAUUUAAUGGUUAACCUAGAAAACCAAUUAUUUGACUAUAGCACAAUUAAACAUCAUCAUAAAUAUAUUAAAUACUUCUUCUUUCUUAGAAUAUGUGUCAUGUUUUCUAUUUUUAUUUGACUCAAAUUAUUUAUCUAUUUAAAAUAUCAAUGUGAUAUUUAUUAUUUUGUCCCACUAACUUAUACUUAUUCUUAUUUAUUGGAUUUUGAAUUAUAUAACUAUUCCAUCACUUAUUAUUAACAAAAUUAUUUUAAUAAUUGAUACUCAUUUUAUUAUUAAAAUCAAUAUAAUUAAUCAUUAUCUUAAAAUAUAAAAAUUUCAAAAAAAAAAACCUAUUAUGAGAUGGAUGAAGUACAUAAUAUCAUUAUUACAUUCUUUGUUAAAUAUAAGACACUUUUGUUUUUUUUUUAAAUUAUACAAAUAAUAAAUCGAGUUAAUAUUUUCGCCAAAUUUCUUAAUUUUCUUAGAGACAAAGAGAAAUAGAAUUGUGUUUAUACAAAGCGACAACAAACACUAUUAUUGGUUAGUUGGGGAUUUGUGAAAUAUUUAAUACAGUUUUUAAUCGGUCAAAUAUAGAUUAACUAAAAUAUUAAAGUGAUUAAAUAUAAAUUAAUCAUUUGUUAAAUUGAGUUAACCACAUAUAAAUAUGUAUUAAUUAUAUAAUUAUUUUUGAAUUUGAUUACAAAAUUGUGUGUUAAAUUAUAAAUUUAAAGCAUAUAUGAACUUUUAUAUAUAUAUAUAUAUAUAUAUAUAUAUUAUAUAUAUAUAUAUAUAUAAUAUAUAUAUAUAUAUAUAUAUAUAUAUAUAUAUAUAUAUAUAUAUAUAUAUAUAUAUAUAUAUAUAUAUAUAUAUAUAUAUAUAUAUAUAUAUAUAUAUAUAUAAAAUUCAGAGUCAGUCCUGACAUUUUAGAGAUUCAGGAUAAAUAAUUAAAAAAAAUUAAAAAAAAGGUUAUCUAAUUAAUUGAAAAUAAUUUUUUUUUUAAAUAAUCAUAUUUUUUAAUUUAAAUUCUAAAAUAAUCUAUUUUUCAAAAUAAUUACAAAAAUAACCACCUUUCAUGACUUAUGCGCCAGUUGAACUGGCGCAUCUAUUUUUCAAUAAACAGGAUGCGCUCAAGCCAUUGUCGCGUGCAUUGGACCAUGUAUGUGAAGGCGCCACAUGCAAUGGCGCAUGCAUGUGAAGGCGCCACAUGCAUUGGCGCAUGCAUGUAGCCAUGUAUGUGUGUGCCACAUGUAUUGGUGCAUACAUUUAGCCAUGUGUAUGCGCCAAAAACAUUGGUGCAUGCAUGCAUGUAUGUGUGUUUGCGUCCAAAGCAAUGGCGCAUGCAUGUGCAUUAAUCUCUAAAUACACAACAUUUCUCCCAUAAUUUUUCAUACAACUUCUUACCCUCCUUCCAUUUUUCUUCAAUCUCCUUCAAUUUUAUUUAAAAUGUAUGUAUAUUCAUAUAUUCACAAGAGAAAUGUCGAUUUAAUCUUUUCAGUAAUGCAGUCUCCGAUGAAUAUCCGACUUUGGAAUGUAGAUACGUUGGAACAUCUUAACAGGAUGUUGAACCGUUUGUUAGAUGGAGACAUUGUAUAUGGUGAAAGGAUUGGAAGAAUUCAAUGACUUGAUACGACGUUCAACCAAAAUGGAGAAAUUCGUUUCUUGGUGGAUAUUAAGACUGACAGAGACGUCCACAGAAUGAUGUAUACUCCUUACAAAAUUGUUUUGAUGGUUGUAAUCGCAUAUUGUAAUCGCAUAGUUAUGUUGUUUAUGUGUUGUAUUUGUUAGUGAUGGUAUUUUAUUUGUUGUAGUUUGUUGUGUUGCUGUUUAUGUGUUGUAUUUGUUUGUGAUGGUAUUUUCUCACAAAGUUAUCAUAUGAAAUGAAUGUUGUUUUUAAUAUAAAGCAAAAGAGCUAUAAUUAAAAUUAUCUUGUUGUGCUUGUUCCAACACUGGGACAGUUAGUAUGAUUAUGAUCGGGAUGACGACAUGAACUUCAUAAUCUAAUCAUUUUGUUCUCCGUAUCCAUUUUGGUUCGAAUACGAGUGCUGUUUGGGCGACCAUUUUUCUUUCUUAGCAUUAUUUCAUUGUGCCAGAGAAUGUCCCAUUGAUAUGCAGGUCAGUAGUCGUCUUUUGCUACCACUGAAAAGCUAAUUUUGUAAACAUUAUAAAGGCUUAUGACUUUGUACACGUCGGAUAGUAAGUUGGAUGAAUCUCGUCGAACCUUUAAACAUGUCGUUAUGACAUGGGAGCAAGGCAUACGAAAGACUUAGAACUUUUCACAUUCACACCAACCUCUAUCUAAUUCCACUCGAUAGUGUCCCCUCAGCAUGCCUUCAUUGUGAUCCAUGGACUCAGCAACACUGUACCAACCUUUAGUAUGGUUAAACACCGUGACCACAUGUGUGUUAGCUUUGGAAGAUUCCUCUUUAAUGAAUUUCAUUGAAGCAUCACUGAAAAUUUCCCAAAUUGUAACAUUGAACUCCAUUCGGAACGUUUGGUCUCAAACAGCGCCCCUGGCCAGAAAUAGGUUGCAUGCACUAAAGCGAUUAUAGGUCGAUUUCGGAUGCCUUUGAAGACAAAGUUCAUUGAUUCCACGAGAUUUGUUGUCAUAUGACCCCAACGUUGACCGUUGUCGUAUGCCCUAGUCAACUUCUCCAAUGAAAUAUUGUCGAUCCAGCUUACUGCAUUUGCGUUUGACAAUCUGAUGUCUUCGCGGUAGUGUUUGAAAGAAGGUUCUGUUAGUGCAUACUCUGCAUUGACAACCUUCUUCAGCAAUGUUUUGUGAUCUCCCACAUAAAAUUUUGAGAGAUAUGUCUAAUGCAGUAGACAUGCGUCGAAGGAGGAUCAUGUCAGCCAUUAUCAAUGUUUUUGUAGGCACUCACUAUUGAUGGGUGUCAGUCUGAGAUCAAACAUAUGUUAGGUUGAGGAGCAACGUGCAAUCGAAGAUUUUUUAGGAAAGAACUACAUCCUCCAACAGUCUCCCCUUCAACUAGGGCAAAGGCGAUUGGAAAAAUGUUGUUGUUGCCAUCUUGUGCCACUGCCAUCAGUAGUGUUCCUUUAUAUUUCUCGUACAACCAUGUAUCAUCAAUUUGUGUAAUAGGAUUACAGAAAGCAAAACCUUUGAUGCAUGGUUGAUACGCCCAGAAGAGUCGGUGGAAUAUUCCAUUACCAAUAGCACAAAUCUCGUCUGGGUUAUACGUCGAUAAUAUUUCCAAAUUGACAAUAGUCCCUGGAGCAUAAUGUUUAAGAGCCACCAAGUAUUUUGGAAGUUGUUUGUAUGACUCCUCCAAAUUGUCAAACACUUUUUCAACUGUCUUAGUCCUGGCUAUCCAUGCCUUCAUGCAUAAAGCAACUAAUGCGCCCUCUUCAAUGGCGCCUACUCACAUGCGUGCAUAAACAUAAGGCAUGCGCCCUUACCACUAGUGCAUACUCACAUGCAUGCAAAAAUACAAGGCAUGCGCCUUUAGCAAUGGCGACUUCACAUAUACAUCACAUGCAAAGUACACUUUCCCGUGAAUGCAACUUAUCAUGAAACUUACUUUCUCAUCUAUAAAUACUGCAACACUCAACCUAUCUUUGCAGCACUCAACAUCUCUGCAACACUCAACAUUUCUGCAACAUUCAACCUCUCUGAAACAUUCAACCUCUCUACAACACUCAACCUCUCUGCAACAUUCAUCUUAUUUGCAACACUCAACUUAUCUUCAACACUCAACCUCUCUGCAACAAUAUGUCUCUAUUGACUAUGGGUGAUGAACAUCGAGGAAUAAUCGAUAAUAUUGCGAUGUUUGUAUGUUAUUACUUAAUCUAUAUUAUUUAUUACUUUAUUCUUAUUCUUAUUCUUAUUUUCUAACAAAAUGUCUCUAUUGUGUAUUACUUCUUCUUACUUAUUUCUUACUUAUGUUUUAUUAGGACCCAAAGAGAUUUCGAUGUCGUGUACAUGAAUAUGUACCACACGAUCCUUUGAUUGAACCAUAUAUUCGAGGAUGCGGUUUUGGUAAUUUACUCAACAUAGUCUCAUACUCAGUUGACUACAAAUUUAUUGUUGCUUUGUUAGAAAGAUGGAGACCCGAGACCCACACAUUUCACCUUCCUUUUGGUGAGUGUACUGUCACACUUGAGAACGUCUACAUGUUGUUAGGUCUACGUAUCGAUGGUAAGGUCGUAGAUGAUAGAGUUAACCAAGAUAACUCUAUAUGCGAUGAAUUAUUGGGUGCCCUUUUGUGUGAAGACACAAUUUUGGGACAGACUUCUGGUCAACCUAGGGGUCAAGGUAUUAAUUUAAAAUAUCUUAAACAAUAUUAUUCAAGUAUAACAUUAAACGAAGAAUCUACCGAGUAUGAAAAGAUAAUUAAAGCUCAGUGUUAUAUUAUGAUUUUAUUUGGUAAUUUUUUAUUUCCUGAAAGUACUGGUAAUACGGUAAAUAUUAUAUAUUUGUCGUUGUUACGAAACAUAAAUGAGGUAGGCACAUAUAGUUGGGGUUCAGUUGUUUUGUCCCAUCUAUAUAGUUCGUUGUUUUAAAAUGGCAAAAAAAUACUUGUAUGUUUUAUUCUUGCGCUUAUUUGCUACAAGCAUGGGGUUGGUCAAGACUGUCGUCACUCGCCCCGAUCAACGAGAAGUCAUUCACAUUCUCCUAUGCAACAAAGUAAGUUUAUAUUUAAUCUUCUAAUUUAUUAGACUUUAUACUACAAUUACCUGUAACUAAUAUAUUUUCAAUCUUUUCGAUAUAGGUGGUCAGUUAAAGGGAUGAACUACAAUAGGUGUCUCAAACACGUUGUAGUAGUCUAUCGCAAUCUUUUAUACCACAUUGGACCAGACGAUGAGUUGCUACUAAACAACUCUACAUUUGGUUUAAAAAAAUUAAUUACAUACCCUCUAAUCAUAUCAUAUUAUUAUAGAUUUUAUCUGGAGGUCGUAUCUAGGUCUUGAUCAUCAGGUUAACCAUGAUAAUGUUGUAGUUUGGACAGCAAAAACACCAAUUAUCUGGUUCACUACUAUGGAGAUGCAAUAGAGUGACCGUGUAAAACUGCAGUUCGGCAAGCAACAACAUAUUCCAGAAUCUCCGACGUGUUUGGGAGAUUGGCACAAACAAAGAGUCGAUGGCCAAUGGGAUUAUUCAGAUUUGAGAGACUUUGCAAAAGAGAUGUGUCUUCAUUGGAGGAAUCGACGGUAACACAUCUUAAACGAACCAGUCAUACAUGGUGCUAGACCAACUCAACAUUAUAUGACAUGGUUUAGAUCGGUUACAACACCACAUAUUGUGUUUAAGACAAGGUAUUUGAUUGAUCCAUGCCAACGAGCUUCGUCAUCAUACGCCCAACAAUAAAUCCCCACCCAAGAACAAUGUCAACCCACCAAAACCCAACGACCAACCUUGCACCAUCACCCUACCAUAUACACCUAACCACCAAACAUCCAACCUCGCUAUUAAUUCAUGCCACACACCCAAAGUCAAAACCAAGAAUCAAACCCUAACCACCAACAACCAUACACAACCACAACAACAGUCUAUAGCUCGGGUGAUUCAUACAAUUCAACGUCGUGUCAUCGUAGCCCCCCACAAAUGAACACCCAAACAUCCCAUCAUCACAACAUCCAACCAUUGUUUGACUUUAGUACACCAUAUGAAUCAUUGCUUCGUUUCUAAAAUGAUUCAAUGUCCCAAUUCGGGCAAUCAUACCGUCCACAAUCCACCCAACUACAAUGAUCCAACUACGACAACAUGGGCACCAAACUCAAUUACGGAAGUGCCGUUGGCGAUACCCCCCCCCCCCCAGCUAUUGGGGAGAAAUGAUGAUAAAUCUAGCAAAUAUCGUUGGACCUUCCACCGGACCUUCACACUAACCACCAUUGCAUCAUGUCAGCACUCAAAGACCCCAAACACCUCAGAGAAAUCGUGGGAGACCUCAAAGACAGGCCAAUGCACUUGGAUGUGGAAUAUGGGGGCAUUUCAAUCGGGCGGGUCAUUAAUUUUUUUGUCAAUUGUUAUGUAUUUUUACUUUAUAUUAUAAUAUUAUUUUUCAUUUAAGUAUUUAAUUUUAUUAUUAUAUAAAAUAUAAAAUUAAAAAAAAACAUGCAUAGUGCAUGUGCCACAUGCAUUGACGCAUAUGCAUGCGCCAAUGCAUGUGACUCAAGGCAUGCAUGCAUCCAACCAAAUGGCGUCUAUGCUCAUUUGCAAUGCAUGCAUGCGUCUUACCAAGUGGUGCAUGUGUUCAUUGGAAAUUAGAAGCGCCAGUUAAGGUGGUUAUUUCCGUGAUUAUUUUGAAAAACAAAUUAUUUUAGAAUUUAAAUUGAAAAAUAUGGUCAUUUUAAAUAAAAAAUCUUGAAAAUAGUAUCAACAACAUCAAAAUUUGUCAUUUAUAUAUGUAACUAACAUAAAAAAAAGCCACAUUCUAAUCAAUAUUUGGUAGCAGGACAGUCUCAAAUAAUUUUAAAGCCUUGUUCCAAUUUUAAAAGUCGGUAUUUAAUAAAAAAAUAAAAAAAAGUAUUUAAAAAGAGUCAUAUUUUAUUUUAGUUGUAAUUAACAUUAAAAACUAAAAAAGAAAAAAUUAUCUAUUAAUAAUUUCAAUGCCUGAUCUAAAGAAUGUACUUCAAAAUUUUAUUAAAGUUGAUAUAGUGGUUUGAAAAAAGUCAAAUUAAUUCAAAAAAUUAUAGACCUUAAAAAUACUCCGGUGGUUAGAGUAACUCUUGUUUAAAAAUCUUUUAAAUCUAUACAAUUUAAUUUAUAUAUACUUAACCAUAAUGAUUUCAUUAAAAAUAAUGUUAAUAUUAUUAAAAUUUUAAUAUAUUUAUAAAAUAACACUAUACAAUAUAUCUUUUUAUAUAAAAAAUAAUAAUAAAUUAAAAAACCAUUGCAUAUAAUCUUUCAAGGGUAGAACACAUGAUUUGUGGUCAAUAUAAAACACAUAGAAAAGAUGUGUCAUAGAUACAUUUGUGUAAUUCUACUCACACACAUUAUAUAUAAAUACUUUUUAUAUAAUUUAUAAAGCCCAAACCCAAAAAAUUGAGACUCCUAUCUUUUGGAGAUCCUAAACUGUGAGUCUGAUUGCCCUGACUCAAGACCGACCCUGAUAUAUAUAAUAAUUUACCCAUGACCACACAUUAAAGAUUUAAAAAUAUAAUAAGAUAAUAAAUUAAAUACACUUUUUAUAUAUUAUAAUAAUAUUAUACUAUAUUAUAUGCCAAUAAAAGUAGAGAAAAAACUCUACAAUCCAUAUACAGGAUAUAAAAGAUCAUAACAGCCUCCAUAACGGCGAGAACAAAUAUUUUGAAGGCGGAUUUGUUAGAAGCAACACCACUUUCGGAAGGUUCGAGAAGGUUUGGGAGUGUCAAUAGGAGGGGAAGGAAUUGAUGAGAGAGGAAGUGAAGGAGACACCGAUGAUGGAGUAGGUGAUGGCGGGGUGUUGAAAAUAGAUGGACUGAUAGUCGGGGAUGAAGCUUUGGGAGAGACCGUUUGUGAGGAAAAAAUGCACAUUGUCAUUAAGACAAUCAAAAUCGGAAUGCAACUGGGAGCUAUUCUUAAAAAUAGAGAGAAAUGCACUGAGAAUGAAUUGUUAAGAAGAUUAAUGUAGAGUGUGAAAAUAAUGGUCAGGUAUGGAUAGAAUAUAUAGAAGGAGAAAGUGAAUACGCGUUUAUAUUGAAACAAUCAUAUACGUGAAGUUUGAGUUUGAUAAAAGAGGGACUAUUAACCUUUGAUAAUUAUUGUUUUUUUAUUGAUAAUAUUUUUUCCAUACAAAAAAUAUAUUUUUUAAAUGAGUAUGCAUUUCACACCAAUAAACUCACAUUUAGUACAAAUCAAGAUUUCUAAUUUUUUAAAUAAAUGAUAAAAUAUGAUAUUGAAACACGGUUUUACGAUUGUCGUGGUUUUACGAUUGUCGUGGUUUUCAAAUGUUGACCUAAAGACACAUGAAGUAUCAUAUCUUGAGUUCUUUUUUCAUGUCGAUGAUGUCAUGCCUAAAGUCUUAUUGAACAAAUAUAAUUUUGAUUAACAAAAUAUUAAAAUAUUAUAAUUUUGAAUAUGUUCCCAAUUUUCAUUUUUUAAAAUCCUUUUAUUUGAAAAUUUUAAUCAUUUAACAAUGUUAUAUUUAACUUGGUUCCUUAUAAUUCAAUCUUUUCAUUCUUACAUUUUUUAAUUUUAAUUUUAUACUUUAAUUUUUUUCUUUUAAUCCUAAACACAAUUUUAUCAUAAUUUUAACCUCACAAAUUUAUGUCUUUUAUGCAUAUUUAUUAAAAAUAUAUAGAUUAAGUUAUUAAUUUGUAAAAAAAAAAAUAGUAAUGUUGCGUAAAAAAAUAUAAACAAAACAUUUGAUAGAUUGUGAAACCAAAUAUAAAUUCUAGAAAAAAAAUUAAAAAAAUGUUUAAUAUUACAUGACAUUGUGAAAGAAAUAGGAGAGAGUGAAGUUAUGAAAAAAAAGUAAAAUAGUAAAGUUAGUGGGGAUAAAUUCUAGAAUUAGUGGAUAAAAGAUGAUUCAUUGACGGCUAAUUACUAUUUAAAAAGAUAUAAGUUGUUAAGGUGGAUUUUCUUUUUUAAAACACUUUAUCAAUUAUUAAUUUUAUAAAAAAAAUGCCCAUUCUUUUAUUUUAAUCUAUAAUAUAAGAAAAAUAGUUGUUCUGAUUAUUACAAUUUUAUCCAUUGUUAUUUUUCUUUCGCAUCGUUAUUUUUGGGGUAAUUUGAGUCUAAAUAAAUUAUAUUCCAACCAAAUGACACAUCUAACUAAAUUGUAAUUGAUAUUUUCUUACAAGUAACUAAAUGAUUCUUUAUAUAAUACACUUUUUGUUGAACGGUACUUUGUUUUUGCAACUUUUCAUUUUUUGAACUAACUAAAUAGUUCCCAACAUUGGUUAUCCAACACAGCAAGUACACGACUUAUGUCAGUCUGCAGAAAAUAUGUUAUUUCCUAUGGUUACACACUUUUUCAAAUGCUAUCCUUACACGCUUCAUCUUAUGGUUACAUACUUUUUCAAUUGCUAUCCUUACACGCUUCAUCUGUAUCUGAAAUCUAUUCUUUUUCAUCAUUUUACAUCUCUUUCUUCAACUCUUUCAUUUGUCCUUCAAACAUUAGGUAUCAUCUCUCUCUUCCCUUUCUUGCAUUUUUUUCAUCAAUCCAUCUUUUUUUAUGUGAAUCAAACUCUAACCCUUCAUCCAUCAUCACAUAACAUUUUUCUUUUAACUUUUUUAGAUCUGUUUUGAUUGUAACAUUUAUAAUUUUAGAUUUUUUUCAUUUUUUUUUCCGAAUCUGAUUUUUUUUCACCAUCUCAGAGUAAUUGAAUAUAAUGGUGUAAUUUUUAGUUAUGGUGUUAAUGUGUGUUUCCCCCUUAUUCCACUUUGUAGGACGGUACGACCCUUGGCAAUGAUAAAAUGACAUACAUGAGGAAAUAUCUUUAUAAAUUUACUUUGGAAUUCCCCCGUAAAUGGUUUAGGCUAUCCAACAACAAAGAGCAUUUGGAUCUGAUUUUUAUUGAUAAAGUGUAAGAAACUGGUAUCUUUUUACUAAUUCUAAUCAUUUUUUAUGAAUGUUAUUUUGAACAUGAUAUUUUGGUUUGUUUACACUUUCAUGAAAUUGGUUGAGCCACAUUUCUCCAAAAUCUAUCCACAACAACUUUCCUGUUCAAAUCUUUGUUUGAAGUUUUUACCCCAAACACAAAUGGCUUGAAUUCAUUUUCCCUAUUUUUUGGUGAUCAAUUUUUUAUCUUCUUUCAUUCUGUUUUUUGGUGACCAAUUUGUUACAUUCUUUCAUUGUCAAUAUCGGGUGUCAAAAUAUUAUUUAUACCAAAACUACUUCUAUUAUCACCAUACAUGCGAAGUUAUUCAGCUGAGGAAUCAGGUAACUAGUAAUCUGCAAAAUGUGUCGUAUAAUCUUUUAUGUAUGUAUUAGCUGGAAUUUCGACGUUGGAAAAAAAUAUAAUAUUUUCGACGAAGAGUUGAGGAGGCAUAGUCGAAAGAAUAUUUUUGUUAAAGAAGGUUUGGUCUGGAAUUUAGAAAUAUUCUUGGAUUCAGAUUUACUUUUCGACGAAGGUGUCUAUUGGGAGUUGCGUUCGACGAGCGUGAUUCAAAUUAAGGCUCAUAACCGUUUUUUGGCCUUAUCCCUUUCUUGAGAAGACGCGUGGAAAGCAAUGAGUAGUGAAGUCCAUGCAAGCGAGAACGUGUCAUCUUUUGCAUAAGAGACCGUUUAUUAUGUUAUUUCUGAUUUAUUAUAAAUAGGGAUCUUAGUGAUUAGUAUUGGGGCGUUCCAUUUUGUACAAAAACUCAUAUAUUACUCAAAGUAUUCGUGUUAUUGAAAAACGAGUUCUUGAAUGCAAUGUCUGUGUGAUCACCAUUUUUACUUUUGUAUCAAAUUAUUAUAAUUUUGUUAUUUACUUUCUUUGUAAAUUUACUUUGAAGUUAUUUACAUUGUCAUUUACAUUUCUGCAUUUCUUUACAAACGUCAACAUUAUUUUCAACAAAAAGAGCAUUGUCGAAAUGUUCAUAAGUGAUAAAACUUGAAGAGAAUUAAAGUACAUAUCCUAGGAUCAAUCUAGUUGAAAUGUUCAUAAGUGAUAAAAUCUUCAUGAUACUCCAAAUAAUUUAUCCAUACUUCUCGACGUAGGUUCAAAGGUUCGACGUUACGCGAGAGAAAAGGUAGGUAUGAUCUCGAUUUCCUGCAGAAAACCUCGUAUCCCACUCACAAGUGUGUACUAUCCUACAAGGGUGAUCCUAAAAAGGUUCAUAAAGUCAAGGACCCAUUUUGAGAUACCAUUGUCUUAGACGACUAACUCGUCUGACAAUGAUGCUCCCAAAAGGAUCUACUCUAGGUGUGACGUCUUAUGUCAACCAAACUCGAGGACUAACUCCAAUGAGGUCAAAACACGACUCUAGUCACAUUACUAUCAUGUCUUGGUGCUCAAGCUCGGGUAUAGAGCUUCUCUCCCAUGUAACAAAGCCCCAACCCAACAGAGACUAUAUAACAGAUAAUAUCGAGUAUGUAGAAUAUUUAAAGUAAUAAAUAAUGCAAUAAAUAGCAUAAAGAUAGAGCGAGUAAAGCAAUGAAGAUAAACACCCAAAGCAUGCAAAGAAGCAAACAUAAAUUUGGCUCGACUUGCUUGGGAAAGGCUCCCCAGCAGAGUCGCCAACUGGAGCUACGUGAACUAUACCUGAGUGCAUCGCACGUUCAAAGAUACAACAGAGUUUCCAUCGAACUUUAUUUAUUCUCGAAGGAAAGGGAAAAAAUCGAUAAAACCCAGGGAAGAGAAAAAGGGUAAGGAAGUCGGUUAUGUAAGGGGAAGGUAUUAGCAACCCCUUACAUUAGUUGUACUCAACAGGGACCAUUUUGAAUGUUCUUUGCAAGAACGGGUUUUAUUAUCUAAAGAUUAACCACGAAAGGAUUAAGGGUUAAUAAUUAAUGUGAAAAAGAAAGUAAUAAAUAAUUUGCUCGCCAAGGCUUCGAACCUUUGUGCCUAUGUAUCCUCAUUCAUGCAAUAAGAAAACCAGAGCUCUGUAGUUCGUGGAACUAAGAUAGAUGCAUUAGUUAUUUUUAAUGGACAAUAUUAACGUUCACGUUCUACUGUCAACUCGCUUGUAGGCUUGAGCAUGGGAGACUUAAGCGUUUGUGUGUUUGCGAUAGAAUGGAUGUACUUGGAUCGUACUCUAGCAGUUAAACAUUGCUAGCUCACACAUGGAGGCUUAAGCUUCAUUCACGGUAGAACGGAAGUAACACAUCCUUUUUGAAAAGGUUUUAAACUGAAAAAUGAAGUCCAAAGGCAAAAUUGAGUUUGAUGAGGUGAGUUUGCUUUUAUUCUAAAAAGAGAGUCAUGAUUUGAAUCAUACUAAAGUAUAUGAAUGAAGAUCAAUAAAGUUAGAAACUAGGUCAUUCGUCCUGUACCCAAGGAUAUUCAGAAUGAGGAUAAGAAUUAUCCAUUCUCAUCCCUUCUCCAUUUCUUAAGGAUCGUAUCGCACAAUCCUAAUCGUAUGGUUAAUUGUUUUUGAGUUUAUUCACAAAAUGGUUUUAGUCUUACAGGAGAAAAAUAACAAAAGGAGAAAUAAACCCUAGAAGGUUAAAAUCUGAUCCUCAGCCUGCAUCCCAGAUUUGUGUAGAAGAUUACUUAGCAGUUGUUAGACUUGAAUCGCACUAAUGUCUAUGAACGAAGGCGGAUACUUUGGGUAGCUAGGGCUAUGCCAAAUACUCAAAGGUACUCUAGAUAAGGGUAAUAGAAACUUCAUCUCGUCAUUCUCUAUUACUUAAGACUCGUGGCACACAAUUCACGUCAUAAUUGUUAAGUAUGUUAUUCUUAUGCUUAUUGAUCCACCUUUGUUGUGCUUAAAUAGUAGUCCACUCCGUCUUGUACUGAUUUGUAUUGAAUGAAGUCUUGAAUCUUGAGGUCUUGUACAGCUCUUGAGAUUCAAUAUAUCCAAUACAACUUGAACAUAAGGGACUUGCCUUAUCAAGUGAUCAAGGGUCUUUUGAUCACUUGAAUAGGCUUUGAGAAUUGAGUACAAUCAAAUGAUUUAAUUGAUCAAAGUGAACUUUGAUCAACUGAAUCAAUCGGGGAAAAAUCAAUUGGAAAAUUAUACAUAAAGGAGAUAAGGAUUUGAAAAUCCUAGGAUCAAUCAGAUUAACAACUAAGCUUAACUCUAAGACCUAAAUCUAAGGGCACAUUUCAAUGGUUAAGAGGCAACUUAUCUCAAAGUCAUAUCAAGGUCUAUACAAGAAUCAAUUUGAUUAAAAGAUCAAUUAAGAACAAUUAAAAUUUGAAUUAAAGGUAGAAUUCACUCAUGCAAUGAACAAUUAUCAUGUGCAAUUAAACUCUAACCUAAAUCAAGAAACUAGGUUAAUCACAUAUUUAUUCAAUUCAUUUUCUCAAACAAUCAAUUAAAAAUUAAUCAAAUCAUGAAUCUUAAUUAACUAUUAAUCAUGUUCAUUAACCAAACAAACAAAUCUAGUUUUAUUCCUACCACUUUUCAUUAUCAUGAACAAAUAUCAUAAAAAUAUUCCACAAAAUAAGAAAAGAAACAAACAAAAAUAAGAUGCAAACAGGGGGUAUGUUUCCAGAUUAUGUGGUGCAGGAAGAGAAAAUACGCAUUCCCAAGGGUGCAUCCAGCAAAGGUGCAUGGGCAUAAACAAAGGCCCAUGUCCGAAGUAUAUAUGAAAUUGGAGGUGUAUACAACAUGAUUGUGGGCCAAAAGGUCCAGAGCCACAAUAGGCCAUGCUGAAUAGAAUGAAGAGUAUUGACGAAAUGGAGUGGUGACUCAUCAAGGCCACUGACAUGUGCGCAUUUGCCCAGGAAAUGGACACGUUAAACAUGUGAGUCACGCGUUGAAGAAAAACUCAGAAUUAAAGUUCAAAUGUGAUUCUCUCUCCAUAGGACUCAGCUUCUCUCCGUCGCGUCGGAAUUCGUCACGGGGGUGGCGGAGUCUAAACUACCAAAACCAAACGUCAAUCUCCUCGUUUCCACACCCUGGUCCUAAAUCCACCCUCAAUUUCCCCCCAAUUAUGAAUGAAUCAACUAAACCGAAGUCAUUUCUUUUCUGAACCCUAAAUGCUAAAACACGAAUUAAAUGAUGCUCAUGAUCUAAAGAUCAAACCAUAGGGCUUUGGCUCCCAAGAUGAGGCACUACAUUGUUGAUAUCUGUAGAUUGGAGAAAAAAAGUGGAAAAGAAUUACCUACUGGAGCAACUCCGGUGGUUCUUCGUCCGUGAAAAGAAGGUUCAGGUAACACAUUCUUCCUUGUUCAACCUCUACUUCAUGCCUUCUUCUUCUCGUUCAUCACUCUAUUGCGCUUAUAUUGUUGUUCUGAGAGUUGUGUAAAAUGAGGAUUUGUGAGAGAAUUUGAAUGUGAGUGAGAGAUUAUGGAGAGAGUUCGUAAAUGAAUUAGAGAGUGAAAGGUGAAUUUCUGAAUAAAAAACUGAAUCAAUCGAAGAGUGAGCAUGGAAGCUAUAUAUAUAUAUAUAGAUAUAUAUAUAUGUGUGUGUGAUUCGAUCCGUUAAUUCUGUUAAUUCCUUCGGUGCAAAAGUUAUUGAACGUUUGUUAACAGGGUUAAAGGUUGUUAAUUGUUAGUUAGAAGGAUUGUUAACUGUUAGUUAGAAGUUAGUUUCAAUUACUCGAAUCCUGUCAGUUAGGUUGCCUGGAAUUAAAUCAGUUAAAUGAGAGUUUUGUUAGCAUGGUUUUUUCUGUUAUUGUUAGCAAUAUUGUCAGUUAUUGAUCUGUGGUUAGUUGUAAAUAAUGGUUAGUAGUAGCUGCUGAAAUCGGUUUUGUGGAUGUCUCUGUUUCUGUUAAUUAUGCAUUGCCUUCUUGAUGUGGUAUACUGAUAUGAAAGUUUUCAUCUGCAUGUUACGCAUUGAUGGUUGUUAAUGUUAUGUAAGGUUAAAUUGGUUGUUUGUUGGUUGCUGCAAAAUGUUACGAAAUACUGAAAAAUGUUGAUGGUUGUUAAGUUAGGUUAGUGUUUUUUUUUUUUCCAGCAGAUGCAAUAUGGGAGCCAUUUGAUACUACAUCUGUCUCAUAAAAAAUGUCUUAUUUGAACAAUUCAUGGUUCUUAAGGAAAUGAUUGGAUAUGUUGGUUUUGAUGAUAAAUUAAGACCAUUUACUAGAAUAUCCCUAUUAAUUGUAGUUAAAAGAGUGGUUGAAUAAAGUGAAAGUUAAUAAAUAGGGGUAUGAUAGUGGAAAAAUAAUAAUAAAUGAUACAUUGAUAUUAUAAAAGGACAAUUAUUUUGAGACAAAGAAAAAGUGCAAAUGAGACAAUUUUUAUGAGACGGAGGGAGUAACUCGGUUGAGAUGUCCAAGUCACUCCAUCAUGUGAAGAGAUUAGAUGCAAAUGGCCCAAGCGGUUCAGUAGUUGCCCCUCUCGGGCUUUCCAACGAUUCAAUAGUGCUUCACGAAAUAUAUUAUUUAAAAUAUUGCCAAACAUAUUAUGUGUAUUCAAUUUCCGUCUCUUAGGAACUCUCGCUUUAAGUGAAUGUAAUGAUGACGACAAUGGUUUGCAAAUCUAAAUGAGCAAGAUGAUCUCAAUCUUCAAGCAUAGGCAUCUUGGAAAACACAUCAUAACCUUUGAAAGCCUUGGAGCAGCAUUUCUGACUUUCCAUUGGUUGGAAUUGAAUUGGCUUUGGGAUAUGAACUCGACAUGUUGUAAUUUUUAUAAUUUGAAAUUGAAAUAUGAAUGUUGGUUUGUUGUAUUUGAAUUUGUGAAUGAAAAUGUGAAAUCGAAUGAAAUAAUUUGAAUUGAAGAUGUUGUAUGGUUUGAAUGAAAAAUGGAGGGAAUGGAAUUUGGAAGUUGAAUUAAUGAUUGGUUUGAUGGGUUUGAAGAUGGAAAUUGAGAUCUUGAUUGAAUAUGUAUGGAAUUUGGUUUAUGUAGAAUAUACUUGAAUGAAUUUGGAAGUGGAAUUGGCUUGAAAGGUUUAUGUAUUGUAAUGUUUUUU
rnacentral:lncRNA from 1 species